rnacentral:snRNA from 1 species
AGACAGAAGGGUGACCUAUUUACCAUAUAUGUGCCCCAUUGUCAGAGCUGAUCUGGUUGACCUGGCUGGCUAGGUGAGUAGCCUCUUCCUCCCUCACCACUCCAUGUGUCUUUCCCAGAGCUAUGUACUUAGUACAAGAUGAUGUCUUUCCCUGAUAGAAGAGGACUAGGUUUUGGUCAAGGGUCUAUGAGUAGCCACACUCCCCUGCUAGACUCUACCUCCAAAUGAGCCCUCAAAAACCCCACAGCAAACAACACACUUAAUAGGAAUAUUAAAUGCUUU